UCCUACGGGGGGCAGCAGUGGGGAAUAUUGCACAAUGGGGGAAACCCUGAUGCAGCGACGCCGCGUGAGUGAAGAAGUAUCUCGGUACGUAAAGCUCUAUCAGCAGGGAAGAAAAUGACGGUACCUGACUAAGAAGCCCCGGCUAACUACGUGCCAGCAGCCGCGGUAAUACGUAGGGGGCAAACGUUAUCCGGAUUUACUGGGUGUAAAGGGAGCGUAGACGGCAGGGCAAGUCUGGAGUGAAAGGCAGGGGCCCAACCCCUGGACUGCUCUGGAA
rnacentral:rRNA from 1 species